GACGUAGGGUGCGAGCGUUGUCCGGAUUUAUUGGGCGUAAAGAGCUCGUAGGCGGCUCGUCGCGUCGACCGUGAAAACCCGCGGCUUAACUGCGGGCUUGCGGUUGAUACGGGCGGGCUAGAGUUCGGUAGGGGAGACUGGAAUUCCUGGUGUAGCGGUGAAAUGCGCAGAUAUCAGGAGGAACACCGGUGGCGAAGGCGGGUCGCUGGGCCGAUACUGACGCUGAGGAGCGAAAGCGUGGGGAGCGAACGGG
rnacentral:rRNA from 1 species